rnacentral:rRNA from 1 species
CCUACGGGGGGCUGCAGUGGGGAAUAUUGCACAAUGGGCGCAAGCCUGAUGCAGCCAUGCCGCGUGUGUGAAGAAGGCCUUCGGGUUGUAAAGCACUUUCAGCGGGGAGGAAGGCGUUAAGGUUAAUAACCUUGGCGAUUGACGUUACCCGCAGAAGAAGCACCGGCUAACUCCGUGCCAGCAGCCGCGGUAAUACGGAGGGUGCAAGCGUUAAUCGGAAUUACUGAGCGUAAAGCGCACGCAGGCGGUCUGUCAAGUCGGAUGUGAAAUCCCCGGGCUCAACCUGGGAACUGCAUUCGAAACUGGCAGGCUAGAGUCUUGUAGAGGGGGGUAGAAUUCCAGGUGUAGCGGUGAAAUGCGUAGAGAUCUGGAGGAAUACCGGUGGCGAAGGCGGCCCCCUGGACAAAGACUGACGCUCAGGUGCGAAAGCGUGGGGAGCAAACAGGAUUAGAUACCCGUGUAGUC